rnacentral:rRNA from 1 species
GAUGAACGCUGGCGGCGUGCCUAAUACAUGCAAGUCGAGCGAACGGACGAGAAGCUUGCUUCUCUGAUGUUAGCGGCGGACGGGUGAGUAACACGUGGAUAACCUACCUAUAAGACUGGGAUAAUUUCGGGAAACCGGAGCUAAUACCGGAUAAUAUUUUGAACCGCAUGGUUCAAAAGUGAAAGACGGUCUUGCUGUCACUUAUAGAUGGAUCCGCGCUGCAUUAGCUAGUUGGUAAGGUAACGGCUUACCAAGGCAACGAUGCAUAGCCGACCUGAGAGGGUGAUCGGCCACACUGGAACUGAGACACGGUCCAGACUCCUACGGGAGGCAGCAGUAGGGAAUCUUCCGCAAUGGGCGAAAGCCUGACGGAGCAACGCCGCGUGAGUGAUGAAGGUCUUCGGAUCGUAAAACUCUGUUAUUAGGGAAGAACAUAUGUGUAAGUAACUGUGCGCAUCUUGACGGUACCUAAUCAGAAAGCCACGGCUAACUACGUG